UACGUAGGGUGCAAGCGUUGUCCGGAAUCAUUGGGCGUAAAGCGCGUGUAGGCGGCCCGGUAAGUCCGCUGUGAAAGUCGGGGGCUCAACCCUCGAAAGCCGGUGGAUACUGUCGGGCUCGAGUACGGAAGAGGCGAGUGGAAUUCCUGGUGUAGCGGUGAAAUGCGCAGAUAUCAGGAGGAACACCAAUUGCGAAGGCAGCUCGCUGGGACGUUACUGACGCUGAGACGCGAAAGCGUGGGGAGCAAACAGG
rnacentral:rRNA from 1 species